CCUAACCCUAACCCUAACCCUAAUACUUACCGUAACCCUAACCCUAAACCCUUCCCUAACCCUAACCCUAACCCAAACCGUAACCCUAACUUUAACCCUAAACUUAACCCUAACCCUAACUCAAACGAAAAAUAUAACUUUAAACGUAGCCCUAACCCUUACCUAACCCAAACCAAUACUAUAACCUCAAGCCUACCCUACACGAACCAUAACCCUAACCAUAACAAUAACCCUAACACUAACAGUAAGCCAUACCCUAAUCUUACCCUAAGCGGAACCCUAAACCUAAU
rnacentral:lncRNA from 1 species